ACUGAACGCUGGCGGUAGGCCUAACACAUGCAAGUCGCGCGAGCGGCGGACGGGUGAGUAAUGUAUGGGGACUGCCCGAUAGAGGGGGAUAAAUACUGGAAACGGUGGCUAAUACCGAAUACUACCGGAGAACACAUUUGGGCUUAGCGAGGAGGUGGGGUAAAGGCUCACCUGGGCGACGAUCUCUAGCUGGUCUGAGAGGAUGAUCAACCCCACUGGGACGAAGACACGGCCCCGACUCUGACGCAGGCAACAGUGGGGAGUAUUGCACUAUGGGCGCAUGCCUGAUUCUGCCAUGCCGCGUAUAUGAAGGAGGCCUUAGAGUUGUUAAGUACUUUCAGCGUGGAAACGUUACCCGCAGCAGAAGCACCGGCUAACUCCAUGCCAGCAGCCGCGGUAAUUC
rnacentral:rRNA from 1 species